CUUAUGGAAUGCUCAGUCUCAUCGCCGUGACUCCUCCAGGAACUCUGGUGGGUAUUGCUAUGAUAAACAGUUGGACUCUGGAUAACUGAAAACUCGGUUUUGGAGUUUUACAGCCUGGAGAAGUCAGGGGGAGGCUGAGAGGAGAAGGAGUGUAUGAAACGUGGCUGGUUCUUGGCAUGCAUGCUGAAAACUUUGAAGUCUGAAGGGACUUGGGUGUCUGCCUAAGCCAGAUAACAAGUCUGGGAGAAGGGAAGAGAGUUUUGUAUGCAGAUUUGGCCAACAGCUUCUAUGUGAGGAGGAGACCAGUGGAAAAGAAAAUACGAAGCCAAAGGAAGAUGCAUCAAGGGACACUCAAAGAAUCAGCAACUGCAACUUUGGAUAUCAGCAUCUCUCUCUGGGUCUUUGCCAAAUCUAGCUGAGCACUGAGGCCAUGUCAAGCAUUAGGUAACAAGGGCAGUAAGUGGGAGCUUACUCUCCUUUCAUUAGGUCUGAGAUCCCUCAGGGCUCUGCAGGGACUGUGCCCUGAAGAAUUGCUGGGAGUGCAGAAGGGUCUUGCUCAACCUAAUGGUAUUGACUGCUGUUUGCUCUGUCUCGCCAGAGCAGACAGGAGAAAAGCAUGGUGUCAGCACCUGGCCUGUCUCAG
rnacentral:lncRNA from 1 species